GACGUAGGGCGCGAGCGUUGUCCGGAUUUAUUGGGCGUAAAGAGCUCGUAGGCGGCUUGUCGCGUCGUCCGUGAAAACCCACGGCUUAACUGUGGGCUUGCGGUCGAUACGGGCAGGCUAGAGUUCGGCAGGGGAGACUGGAAUUCCUGGUGUAGCGGUGAAAUGCGCAGAUAUCAGGAGGAACACCGGUGGCGAAGGCGGGUCUCUGGGCCGAUACUGACGCUGAGACGCGAAAGCGUGGGGAGCGAACAGG
rnacentral:rRNA from 1 species